AAAUAUUGAUUCCUCGACGACAAACAUUGUAACUAAUUCAAUGGAGUUGGAUAUACUAAAUUCUUCAAAUACUUGUACUAUCUAUCUGGAUUAUCCAUAUCAAUUGGAGGCUUGUUAUGUGGAUGAUGAAAUUGUCAACCUUGAGAGUCUAUUUGAAGGAGAAGGACAACUAUUAGAUCAAAUAAUCG